AUAACUUAGACAUUGAAGAUCCUUGAAUUGGGAUCCCUACUGUCUGGAGUUGUCUGGCACCGUCCUUGUGGAAUUGACUCAUCUGUAAAAGGGAGUUAAGGGUACAUCAAUAUCCCGUGUCCAUAAAUUUAGAGGUGACUGGAGAACUCUCACAUAAGCGGCCACCUCACUUCACUGGCUGGAUCAUGGGGCAGCUCUUUCCCAAGCCCGGCGAGUGCCUGCAUGCAAGAAGGCGGGAUUCCUUCUGCCAGCAGUUAGCAUGGCACCUGCUGUGUAAGCAUCUUAAACAUGUGCCUAGAUGCGGGAGGCCAGAUGCGCAAGAUGGACACUCGGCUCCUCCUUCGUCCCCGCCUCUCCUCGCUUCCAGGGUAGCAGCCUCAACAAGGGAAACUAUUGUUCCAGUGGAGGCUGCGAGGAUGUCGGUGAUUUACGCGCCGAGCUGUAGCUGCAAAAGGACAAGGGCAAGUGCCGGCCCGACCUAGGGCCCACCGGUCUCUGGCUUGCUCUUGUGAGUAGGUGCACCCUGCCCGCUUGUGGUGGCCUCAGGGGUAAGAAAUCAGGACCCACCCAGUGAGAGAAAUAACCCAAGCUGUCAGCAACGCGGAAAGAAAUGGGCUAGCAACCUCUUAAAGCAUCCUCACGUACUGCGGCGAUGACUCUGUGCACAGACCAAGGAAGGAGAGAGGCCGCGGAAGUCAGAACUGUCCAUUUGGCUAUGAGCGAAUCAUCCUGCUUGCUUUUAUAAGCAUUUAUCCUGAAAAGAAAUUUAAAGCAGACAUCCCAUAAAUGGAGUCUGGGACAGAAACCUACACAUUGGGGCUUGGUGGCAUGCAUGUUUAGUCCCAGCUACACAGCAGGGAGGCUGAGGCUGAAGGAAUACUUGAGCCCAGGAAUUCAAGACUAGCCUGCACAACAUAGUGAGACCCUGACUUUAAAAUAAAUUUAAAAAAAUUAAAAGCAACAAGACUUUCUGCUUGUAUAUGAUGAUGUUAGUAUGCUGACUUACAAGGUUAGAUCAUUUUGAUAUGUGUGAUGUAGGUUUUCAAAGCUGGCACUGUUUUAUGCUUCAAAUAUUAUUUUUAUUCAUUGGUUCUCAUGGGAUUUCAUCACUAAGCUGUAAAUCAAUAAUCAUAAUGUUGAGGGGAGGGGAUUACAAAAUAGCUCUUCAAAAUCAUCUUUGCAUUUCUCAAUAAACAGCAUUCCCUUUUGGACUACAGUGAAAAAUAUUGAGCUUUGUUUACUUUGAAAAUGAGUCUUAGUCUAUGAAUGCCUGGGUAGGGUCAAGAAUGAAAAAUGAGAGGAAGAGAGAAGCAUCAGGAAGAUAAAAUGAUCAAUCUCACAAAACUUGCUAUUUUUAGAAAGCAUCAUUCUAAUUUUGAAACCAAAAAAAUGGGGAAAAACAGAGUAAUGGAAUAAUAGAAUGCCUCAUGUACAAAAGCAACAAUUUCAGAGAUGAUCUAAAACAACUUAUUAGUUAUAGGAAGAAAUAUACCUGAAAAGGGCAAAAAUAAGUUGGGUUUGGCCUCUUGUCACUGAAAUUAUCUACUAAAUCUAACAGCAUCUAUGUUCCUUUAGCUGUUGUGUAUAUUGUACACAAAUGUGA
rnacentral:lncRNA from 10 species